rnacentral:piRNA from 1 species
UGAGGGUCUACAUUAGAUUAUAGGAGGU